AAUGAACGCUGGCGGCAGGCCUAACACAUGCAAGUCGAGCGAGCGGCGGACGGGUGAGUAAUGUCUGGGAAACUGCCUGUAGGAGGGGUAUAACUACUGGAAACGGUAGCGAAUACCGCAUACCAUCAGCUUUGCCAAGAUGGGAUUGGCUAGUAGGUGGGGUAACGGCUCACGUAGGCAACGAUCCCUAGCUGGUCUGAGAGGAUGACCAGCAACCCUGGGACUGAGACACGGUCCAGACUCCGACGGGAGGAAGCAGUGGGGAAUAUUGCACAAGGGGCGAAAGCCUGAUGCAUCCAUGCCGCGUGUGCGAAGAAGGCCUUCGGGUUGUAAAGCACUUUAAGCGGUGAGGCGUUACCCGCAGAAGAAGCACCGGCUAACUCCGUGCCAGCAGCCGCGGUAAUAC
rnacentral:rRNA from 1 species